GUUAGGAAUAUUGGACAAUGGGCGCAAGCCUGAUCCAGCCAUGCCGCGUGAGUGAUGAAGGCCUUCGGGUUGUAAAGCUCUUUAGCCGAUGAUUAUAAUGACUGUAGUCGGAAAAUAAGCCCCGGCUAACUUCGUGCCAGCAGCCGCGGUAAUACGAAGGGGGCGAGCGUUAUUCGGAAUAACUGGGCGUAAAGCGUGCGUAGGCGGCUUUGCAAGUUGGGAGUGAAAGCCCAGGGCUCAACCCUGGAAUUGCUCUCAAAACUGCAAGGCUCGAAUUCGGGAGAGGAUAGCGGAAUUGUCAGUGUAGCAGUGAAAUGCGUAGAUAUUGACAGGAACACCAGUGGCGUAAGCGGCUAUCUGGACCGAUAUUGACGCUGAGGCACGAAAGCGUGGGGAUCAAACAGGAUUAGAUACCCGAGUAGUCC
rnacentral:rRNA from 1 species